UACAGAGGUCUCGAGCGUUAGGCGGAAUCACUGGGCUUAAAGCGUGUGUAGGCGGAUUGCUAAGUACCUUGUGAAAUCCCACGGCUUAACCGUGGAACUGCUUGGUAUACUGGCUGUCUUGAGCCACUUAGGGGCAACCGGAACAAACGGUGGAGCGGUGAAAUGCGUAGAUAUCGUUUGGAACACCAAUGGUGAAAACAGGUUGCUGGGAGUGUGCUGACGCUGAGACACGAAAGCCAGGGGAGCAAACGGG
rnacentral:rRNA from 1 species